AGCGAACGCUGGCGGCAGGCCUAACACAUGCAAGUCGAACGCACCGCAAGGUGAGUGGCAGACGGGUGAGUAACGCGUGGGAACGUGCCCUUCGGUUCGGAAUAACCCGGGGAAACUCGGGCUAAUACCGGAUACGUCCGUAAGGAGAAAGAUUUAUCGCCGAAGGAUCGGCCCGCGUCGGAUUAGCUAGUUGGUGAGGUAACGGCUCACCAAGGCGACGAUCCGUAGCUGGUCUGGGAGGACGAUCAGCCACACUGGGACUGAGACACGGCCCAGACUCCUACGGGAGGCAGCAGUGGGGAAUAUUGGACAAUGGGCGCAAGCCUGAUCCAGCCAUGCCGCGUGAGUGAUGAAGGCCUUAGGGUUGUAAAGCUCUUUUAGCGGGGACGAUAAUGACGGUACCCGCAGAAAAAGCCCCGGCUAACUUCGUGCCAGCCGCCGCGGUAA
rnacentral:rRNA from 1 species